ensembl:miRNA
GUAGAGGAGAUGGCGCAGGGGACACGAGCUAAGACUCAGGGGUCCCCGGACCCUCAGACAUGUGUCCUCUUCUCCCUCCUCCCAG